rnacentral:lncRNA from 1 species
UGGACAAUAUGAUCCAACAGCUUCCAGUCCCUUGUCUUCAACUGUGUCUACAACCUGUAUAAUGUAGAUGUUCCGAAACAUUUUCAUCAUUCUUUUAUGUUGCUAAAAUGUCAAUAUCAAUGAAACUUAAUAGAAUAAAGAGCAGAUAAAGAAAAUCAUACCCAAAGGCGUCGAAGAUUAGGACAAUGAACAAGAAGAUCAGUAAGAUCUUCACUGUCAACAAGAGCAUAACUAAAAUUCAAGAAAGUCAGAUUUGUGCAUGCAGAGUAUAGAACUUGGAGUUGGAUAUACUGUGCUGAUGCUGAAGCCACCCAUAAACCAGAAAGGGUGUGAAGACUCUUACAAUUUUUGAACGCGCUUUCGAGCUCUAAAUACUGCUGACAUGUCAGAUCUUGUGAAAAUGAGCCACUGCCAAGCUCACAUAACUGAGGGGCAAGAACAAGAAGUCUUUGAAACUGUUCAAGCGUUACGCUUUUGUUAACCUUCAAAGUCUUCAAUGAUUUGCACCUACCGACAAGUUUCUCAAGCGCAUCGAUAUUUACAUCAUUGUUUAGGUUAGCAAAGUUCAAUACUUCCAAUGAUGUAAAGCUUUCUGGGAAGCAACUCAACCAAUCACCACUUUUGUCAUCGAUGUCAUUCUCUUGUAUGUCAAGCUCGGUUAAAUUCCUGCAUCCAAGUAAUAUUCAGAAGAUGAUUUAUCCAAGUAAUACCAAAUUUUCAAAUCACUCGAUAUGAUGCUGUCAUUACUGAAGUUUUUCAGAUUCAUAGAAUGCUAGCAAAAUAGUGUAAUUGAUGUGAUCAACAAGUAUCACACUGCUUAUGCUUUCAAGGAUCAUAAAAUAAAGUUUGAAGACACGUAAAUCUUACUUGCAAUUAGCGGCAACUGCAGCCAAGCCAUCAGUGCUAAAUCCUUCAC